rnacentral:tRNA from 1 species
GGCCCUAUAGCUCAAUGGAUAGAGCCCAGGCCUUCUAAGCCUGUCAUGAUGGUUCGAUUCCGUCUAGGGUCA